AAGGAUUUGCACAAUGUACAUUGUAUAAACAGAGAUAUGCUUUGCAUUGUUUAAGAUGAAGGAAGAUUUAGUUGUGAAUUACUCGUGUUCUGAUUUUUUUUCUUUGGUUGAUUUUUUUUUUCUCCAAUCCAACGCAAGCUAAAUUUUUUUUACUCAUGCUCUGCCCCUCGCGCCGGCGGCCGGCCUGCCCGCCUUCCCGAGUCCCGACGGCGCCGCGACGGCCCACUGCCCCUCGCGCCGGCGGCCGGCCUGCCCGCCUUCCCGAGUCUCGACGGCGCCGCGACGGCGCAGCGGCGCUCUGCCCCUCGCGCCGGCGGCCGGCCUGCCCGCCUUCCCGAGUCCCGACUCGCGCCGUCGCGGUCGCACCGCCUCCGGCCUCCCCGACGCGCAUCGGCGCGCGCGCCCUGCCUCGGCGCCCGCCGCCUGGCCGGCAUCCCGCAUCCGGCGGCCCUCCCCCUCCGGAGAUUGAGGAAUGAAGAAGUCAAGCAGUGUAUUUCUUUUUCAGAAGCAUGAAGCAAAAAAAGUUGAUGAAGGGGCAAUUUACAUUGUCAUUUAGUGCCGGAUAGUCUUCAGUGCAAGGAAUUAAUUAAGAGCAGACAAUAGAAAAUUCAGCGAGAGUGUUCACCAUUAGCCGACCCUCCUCCAAUGCCUCUCCGCUGUGCAAACGCCUGCAAGGAUCAGUGUGUUGGAUGCCUGUACUGUAUGCUGUUCGAUUAUCCCGUUUGCAUGUUGCGCCUUCUUCUGGUAGGCGAGGCCAUCAGCUGAAUCAAACAUCACUAUUGGAGCAAUCAAACAUCACCAUUGGAGGCUGGAGCUAUAGUUUAGUUUCCUGUUUGUAAAGAAAAAGUGAAGAAUGUUCGUGACUGCCGGGGGUCGGAGAAUAAAACUCCGAACCCCACCGGUGACCGAGCUGAUUGCAUGUCGUGCCUUCUUGUAUUCUUCAGAAAAGCCAAACGACCAGCUGAUCAACUAUCAGAUCAGACUUUUUGUAAUUAAGUAAUUUAUUUCUCUUGUGAAUGUGUUCUCUACGAUUUAUUUUCGAAGAGAACUCUAAAGAAAUGCAGGGAGUUCCUUUUUUUCA